ACCAAAUCGUGUUACGACCAAAUCAUGCCACGACCGGUCUGUCGGAACCAAUUGUGGUCUGUGGUCGUAAGUCGGGCACUAGCUGUGAUUGUUUUGGGCUGCCAUGACCCACACCCAUAGAAGAUGGUGAACCUAAUCGAUAAAUGUGUGUUGUGAGUGCUGCUUCAAACCCUGUUCGUCCGUCUCUCUCCAACUCCUUGGGCCUCCCUCUUCCUGAGACAUAACAAUAUUGAAAUUAGACCAAUUAAUAACGUUACAGUGGACUCUUAAGUGUUUAAAUGAAAGGAAUAGUUGCACAUCUGUGACUUUAGAUCAAAAGCUAGAAAUGAAAAGCUGAGAUAGGACAAAAGCUACGCCUCUCGUGGCAAACAGACAAGCUGUGAAUACAAAGGAAAAGUUCUCGAAGGAAAUUAAAAGUGCUGCUCCUUUGAACACAGGAAUAAGAAAGUAAAACAGCCUUAUUGCUGAUACGGAGAAAGUCUGAGUGGUCCGGAUAGAAAAUCGAUCAGUCCAGCUACAACAUUCCCAAGCCAAAGCCUAGUCCAGAGCAAGGACCUAACUUUUCAAUUCCGUGAAAGCUGAGAGAGAUGAGGAAGCUACGGAAGAAAAGUUGGAAGCUAGCAGAGGUUGGUUCAUCGGGUUUAAGGAAAGAGGCCAUGUCUGUAACAAAGUGCAAGACGAAGCAGCACGUUCUGAUGCAGAAGCUGCAGCAAGUUAUCCAGAAGACCUGGCUGAGCUCUCUGAUGCAGAACUAAGAGGUCUUUCAGCGCAGCUGCCACCCCUAGAGCUUCCAGUACACCAGCAUCAGCUUGGGGACCAUGUCCUCAUCCAAAGCUGGAGAGAAGGAAAAGCUCGAAGCAGCCUGGGAAGGACCUUACCUAGUUUUCCUAACUACUGAAACCGCAGACCAGACAGAAAGAGGGUGGACUCAUCACACCCAAGUCGAGAAAGCUCUGCCCACUCUGGAGUCAUGGGCCAUAGUCCCGGGGGGAAACCCUGCCAAACUAAAGCUAAGAAAAGUUUAACCGGCCCUCGUUUAUUUUAUUACUCCUUCCUUCCGUGUUCUACUGCUGACCACCUCAUUAUUAAUGUAACCAGGUCACCUUUUCCUCCAACGAUCACAUUUGAUGCCUGUCUCACCACACCUUGUGGAGCUCUCCAAAACCGAAAGCAACUGGCCUCCUCAGAAAAAUAUAUGUCCUUCCAAAAUAACUUCUGACCUCCACGACCCUUGCAUCAUAGAAACCAAGCCCCCAACAUUUCUCGAAUUUUGGGAACUAAGGUCGACUUUCCAGGAUGGUACUGUCCCUCCUGGGACGAUGUCCAAUGGGCCACUGAGGAGAAGGGUGGACUUACUCAAAGGGCUUCACCUCUCCAAAACCAUACGUCCGUUUUACCCAAGAAAGCGUUCCUUCUAAUUGUCAACGGUAUCAGUGCGAUCCAGUGCAGCUCUCUAUUCUUAUCUCUACUAGACUCUGCCAGUCCUGACCCACUUAGGUCCCUUCUGUGGCACAGGAGCCAACUUGCUGGCACAGACCUCAAAGGAUCUUUGGAAAUGCAUUUUAUUAACCCCUCAUCCUCUUCACCCCCUUCCUUCUCUUCUCCUUUUGGACUUUCUCAUCAAACUGUCAUUCUUCCAUACCCAGUGAUAGGACCAAAGUGGAUGUUGUGGAAGUAAAUGAUUUAAAACCAGCUUUAGCAAUAGAGACAGGAUAUCAAGAUGCAAAUGCCUGGUUGGAAUGAAUCAAAUAUUCCAUCUCUACAUUAAACAAAAGCGAUUGUUAUACUUGUGUGCACGGCUGACCAGAGGCCCAGAUGCUCCCUUUUCACUAGGACGGUCCUCCAGUCGACCAGACAUGGGCCGUAUGGUAAUUCUUUUCCAGGAUUCUACAGCCUGGGGUAACAAGUCAUGCCAAGCUCGCUCUCUGCUAUAUCCCGAAGUGCAAUACGCUGCGGGUCAGCCUGCAAGGACCAUCCAGCUUCCAUCCCUGAACACCAAGUUCACUUCACGUGUCUCACGACAAGGAGGAAACAGCGUUCCUUGGAGACCUGAAGUGAUGCAAUGAGCUUAAGACUUCUCGAGAGCUUACCAACCAGCCCUUGUUCAUCCCCAAGCAGAUGUAUGGUGGUAUUGUGGUGGACUUGACUGUGCUCUGGUCCAAUUCGCUAUGCCUUUGACCCUGGCAUUUCAUCAGCCAGAGAAAGGAAAAACACAGCAUCGUAAAGCAAGAGAAGCCCCUUAUGGGUGUUUUGACUCUCACGUUUAUUUAUAGAUGCAAUUGGAGUCCCACAAAGAGUACCAGAUAAAUUUAAAGGCUGAGAUCAAGCGGCUUCAAGACUCGAGUCAAUAUUUUGGAAGAGCAUUGUCAUUGGGCUCAGGGAGAGACUGCACUUCUUGUCUGCUUUGCUGCGAGUGCGACCUUGUGGCCAAGUGCAGAUCGUGUGCAGUGAUGACAGUACAGCUUCCAGGCCAUCCCAGCACGAAAGAUCAGCCCUCAUCCUGCAGCGGUGGUCUUUCCUCUUCAUACAGGCUGGAAUGUGCAUGUGCUCCCACCCAGCACUGACCAUGGGAGAAGACAGUGCCUUGCAGUAUGGCAGAGCAAAGGUGGAAAGGGCCUGGGUCCUUGAGUGACUUCAUGAGCUUUCUCACUAUCCCAAACCUUGGGACUACUCUAUGACAAGGACUUUCCGUGAGUCACUGUCUUUUGGAGUCUGUUUUAGCUGCCGGCACUUUAUCCUGAACAAUAUGGCUGUUAUCAUGUGUAUAUUGUUACUAUGAGCAUCAUCUAAGUAAUUUCUACUCUGCCUUUGACCACUAAGCUCAUGUUGGACAAGA